UUCCGGUUGAUCCUGCCGGAGGUCACCGCUAUUGGGAUCUGACUAAGCCAUGCGAGUCGAGAGGGUUCGGCCCUCGGCAGACUGCUCAGUAACACGUGGAUAAUCUACCCUUAGGUGGAGGAUAACCUCGGGAAACUGAGAAUAAUACUCCAUAAGUCUAGGAUGCUGGAAUGCACUUAGACUAAAAGUUCCGGCGCCUAAGGAUGAGUCUGCGGACUAUCAGGUUGUAGUCAGGGUAAAGACCUGACUAGCCUACAACGGAUACGGGUUGUGAGAGCAAUAACCCGGAGAUGAUAUCUGAGACACGAUAUCGGGCCCUACGGGGCGCAGCAGGCGCGAAACCUUCACACUGCGCGAAAGCGCGAUGAGGGGAUCCCGAGUGCUAACUCGAAAGAGUUGGCUGUUUAUUUGUCUAAAAAGCAAGUAGAGUAAGAGCUGGGUAAGACGGCUGCCAGCCGCCGCGGUAAUAGCUGCAGCUCGAGUGGUGACCACUAUUAUUGGGCCUAAAACGUCCGUAGCCGGUUUAGUAAAUGCCUGGGUAAAUCGUGCCGCUCAACGGUACGAAUUCCGGGUAGACUGCUAGACUUGAGACUGGGAGAGGUUAGAGGUACUUCUGGGGUAGAGGUGAAAUUCUGUAAUCCUAGGGGGACCACCUGUGGCGUAAGCGUCUAACCAGAACGGGUCUGACGGUAAGGGACGAAGCCCUGGGUCGCAAACCGGAUUAGAUACCCGGGUAGUCCAGGGUGUAAACGCUGCUUGCUUGAUGUUAGUUGGGCUACGUGCCCAACUAGUGUCGGAGAGAAGUUGUUAAGCAAGCUGCCUGGGAAAUACGGUCGCAAGGCUGAAACUUAAAGGAAUUGGCGGGGGAGCACAGCAACGGGUGGAGCGUGCGGUUUAAUUGGAAUCAACGCCGGUAAUCUC
rnacentral:rRNA from 1 species